UCUCCCGCUUCUCCUCCCUGAGCGGGCGCCUUAAUCCUUAUUAAGGCUUUUCACCCCCGGUUUUACUCCCCUUUAACCGGGGGUUUUUUUAU
rfam:Betaproteobacteria bacterium RIFCSPLOWO2_12_FTLL_62_13 rifcsplowo2_12_scaffold_5103, whole genome shotgun sequence.